AGAGUUUGAUCCUGGCUCAGGAUGAACGCUAGCGACAGGCUUAACACAUGCAAGUCGAGGGGCAGCGGGGGCACUGGUUCGCCAGUGCCUGCCGGCGACCGGCGCACGGGUGAGUAACACGUAUGCAACCUGGCCUCUGCAGGGGGAUAACCGGUGGAAACACCGCCUAAUACCCCGCGACGCCACCCCGGGGCAUCCCGGGGCGGCCAAAGGAGCGAUCCGGCGGAGGAUGGGCAUGCGGCGCAUUAGCUGGUCGGCGGGGUGACGGCCCACCGAGGCGACGAUGCGUAGGGGUUCUGAGAGGAAGGCCCCCCACACUGGGACUGAGACACGGCCCAGACUCCUACGGGAGGCAGCAGUGAGGAAUAUUGGUCAAUGGGCGGAAGCCUGAAUCAGCCAAGUCGCGUGAGGGACUAAGGCCCUACGGGUCGUAAACCUCUUUUGCCGGGGAUCAGUGCCCAGCUCGCGAGCUGGGAGGGAGCGUACCCGGAGAAAAAGCAUCGGCUAACUCCGUGCCAGCAGCCGCGGUAAUACGGAGGAUGCGAGCGUUAUCCGGAUUUAUUGGGUUUAAAGGGUGCGUAGGCGGGCCUUCAGGCCGGCGGUAAAAUUGCGGGGCUCAACCCCGCCGAGCCGUCGGAACCGGGGGCCUUGAGUACCGGAGAAGUACGCGGAAUGCGUGGUGUAGCGGUGAAAUGCAUAGAUAUCACGCAGAACCCCGAUUGCGAAGGCAGCGUACCGGCCGGUCACUGACGCUGAGGCACGAAAGCGCGGGUAUCGAACAGGAUUAGAUACCCUGGUAGUCCGCGCAGUAAACGAUGGACGCUAGCUGUCCGGCCCGAACGUGGGCUGGGUGGCACAGCGAAAGCGUUAAGCGUCCCACCUGGGGAGUACGCCGGCAACGGUGAAACUCAAAGGAAUUGACGGGGGCCCGCACAAGCGGAGGAACAUGUGGUUUAAUUCGAUGAUACGCGAGGAACCUUACCCGGGCUCAAACGCCGCAGGAACCGUCCCUGAAAGGGGACGGGCCAGCAAUGGCCUGCGGCGAGGUGCUGCAUGGUUGUCGUCAGCUCGUGCCGUGAGGUGUCGGCUUAAGUGCCAUAACGAGCGCAACCCCCACCGACAGUUGCUAACUGGUCAAGCAGAGGACUCUGUCAGGACUGCCGGCGCAAGCUGCGAGGAAGGCGGGGAUGACGUCAAAUCAGCACGGCCCUUACGUCCGGGGCGACACACGUGUUACAAUGGCGGGUACAGCGGGAAGCCACCUGGCGACAGGGCGCGGAACCCGAAAACCCGUCUCAGUUCGGAUCGGAGUCUGCAACCCGACUCCGUGAAGCUGGAUUCGCUAGUAAUCGCGCAUCAGCCACGGCGCGGUGAAUACGUUCCCGGGCCUUGCACACACGCGCCCGUCA
rnacentral:rRNA from 1 species